rnacentral:tRNA from 1 species
UCGGGUAUAGCUCAGUGGUCAAAGUGUUGGACUCGUAAUUUGAAGGCCCGGGUUCGAGUCCUGUAUUUUUUUUUGUU